AUUGAACGCUGGCGGCGGGCUAAAAACUGCCAAUUCAAAGGUAAAAAGGAGGAGCUUGCUGCUUUGGCGAUGGGUGGGGGGCGGGGGGGGAAAGGUUGGGGAACUGCCUGGAGGAGGGGGAUAACUACUGGAAAACGUAGCUAAUACCGGCUAACCGCGCCAGACCCAAGGGGGGGUACUUAAGGGCCUUUUGCCUCGGGUGUGGCCCAGAGGGGAUUAGCUAGUAGGGGGGGUAACGGCUCACCUAGGCGACGAUCCCUAGCUGGUCUGAGAGGAUGACCAGCCACACUGGAACUGAGACACGGUCCAGACUCCUACGGGAGGCAGCAGUGGGGAAUAUUGCACAAUGGGCGCAAGCCUGAUGCAGCCAUGCCGCGUGUAUGAAGAAGGCCUUCGGGUUGUAAAGUACUUUCAGCGGGGAGGAAGGGAGUAAAGUUAAUACCUUUGCUCAUUGACGUUACCCGCAGAAGAAGCACCGGCUAACUCCGUG
rnacentral:rRNA from 1 species